GAGUUUACGUUGUUUUUAUGCAGUGUUAAAUAAAAAAAUCUUGUGACGCCCCCAAAAUUAGGUAUACGUCACCCAUCUUGGGUCGCCACUUACAUGGUAUAUAAACUGUGAGUUUGAAUACAAAUAUUGUCUACUAGAGAUUAUACAAACUCAAAAGGAGUCCUUAUUACAAUUAUUAUUACACUAUUUCACAGAAUAGUGAGGACUACUAAUGCUAUCAUCUGGUCCGUCACUCCAUUCCCCGACUAGUCCCUGCUACGUUCUC
rnacentral:lncRNA from 1 species